GUUUUGAAGGGCUUGCAGUCCACUUACGGAGACGGUACCUGGAUUUCACAAUCUGACACCAGCUACAUUUAAGAAGAUCUUGCUCACACAAUUCAGACAAGGGACUCGCCGGAUGAUGAACAAUCCUCCCGAUAACAACCAACAGAUUCACCUCAGAAAGUGAUGAUUCUGAAUGAAUAAUGCCACAUCAGUGUGACUGUAGGUGGUUUUAUUAUGACACUAAUCAAGUCUGAAUGAAUUUAUGCCAAAGCACUGUGUCUAUGUCCAGGUUGUGUACACCGACACUUACUAUACAAAUCUGAAUGACUUUUGUGGUUUACUGCAGAAACAUAAUUGAAUUUAGAUAUUCUUCUUCCAUGAAAUUCAUCUGAGAUUUGACAAAUUUGAUUAUUUAGAAAAUGGCAUUGAAGCGUCUGUUCUGUAAGGCCUUGCAAGCACCACUGGUUACUUUAUGCUAGUUCCUCUUCUUGCUUGAUCAAAUUUCAAUUUGUGAUAUGUACCAAUAAAAUGUCAUAUAAUCAAUAAAUAUGAUUUUUUUCCAAAAA